GAGUUUGAUCCUGGCUCAGAGUGAACGCUGGCGGUAGGCCUAACACAUGCAAGUCGAACGGCAGCGGGGAGGAGCUUGCUCCUUGGGUGGCGAGUGGCGGACGGGUGAGGAAUACAUCGGAAUCUACUCUGUCGUGGGGGAUAACGUAGGGAAACUUACGCUAAUACCGCAUACGACCUACGGGUGAAAGCAGGGAUCUUCGGACCUUGCGCGAUUGAAUGAGCCGAUGUCGGAUUAGCUAGUUGGCGGGGUAAAGGCCCACCAAGGCGACGAUCCGUAGCUGGUCUGAGAGGAUGAUCAGCCACACUGGAACUGAGACACGGUCCAUACUCCUACGGGAGGCAGCAGUGGGGAAUAUUGGACAAUGGGCGCAAGCCUGAUCCAGCCAUACCGCGUGGGUGAAGAAGGCCUUCGGGUUGUAAAGCCCUUUUGUUGGGAAAGAAAUCCACUGGCUAAUACCCGGUUGGGAUGACGGUACCCAAAGAAUAAGCACCGGCUAACUUCGUGCCAGCAGCCGCGGUAAUACGAGGGGUGCAAGCGUUACUCGGAAUUACUGGGCGUAAAGCGUGCGUAGGUGGUUGUUUAAUCCGUUGGUGAAACCCUUGGCUCACCUGGAACUGAGUGGAUCUGGGCCACUAGAGUGGGUAAAGGGUAGCGGAAUCUGUGUAGCA
rnacentral:rRNA from 1 species